rnacentral:misc_RNA from 1 species
GUAAUUAUUAUUUGUUUUCUGACGCUGAUUGCAACUACAAAAAGGUUUGAUAUUGUCCAACCGGCAGGCAAGCCCGCCGAGGAAACAUACGGUACGCAAAAGACAAGGGUGCAGCAAGGACCGAAGUCCGCUGUUUUGAUAAUGAUCCUUCCGCAGGUUCACCUACGGAAA